rnacentral:lncRNA from 1 species
AACUGCUAGCGACUGACAGGCGGGGGACGGCCGAGACAGACAAAGAGAAGCCGAAGACUCUGGGGUCUUCAGGAGAGGGUCGCACGAGCUGAGUCGGGGACAGACAGGUGGAGUUUCCAGAGCCUGCACCACCCGGGACACUGCUGGCAGCUCUCUAGGCCCUAGAGUCUGAGCUGACUCCGACUUUGGCUCACCGCUCUGCGGCCGGACGAUUGUAUGCCAUUCAAAAAGUCGGGAGUUGAAAGACAGCACGCAGCACCUUUGUCCCCCUCCCCGUUUUCCCGGCGCGCUGAAAAGAAAUGGGGCUGGGACUUAGGGGCGGGGGAGGGCUUCCAACUCGGUUUCUCUAUAUCCUCCACCACCUUAGAGCCCACCCUCCCCAAUGAGCGUUUUGUUCUACCCAGCCACGUGUUUGUCGGAUUUUUGUUUUUGUGAUUUUUUUUUCCCAUGGAACAACAAGAAUUAAAGUACUAGGAGCUAUUUGUUGUUGAGUAGAAAGAGAAUAUUUUCUGUCCAAGAAGGUGGGAGACAUCUGUGUCUCACCCCCACACACACACCUCCGACCCUCCCCCCUUAUCUGACUCUUAAUACUUAGCUGUUGGUCACAAGCAUUAUUUUUAAACAAACCAAUGAGUAGGAAACAGGCAUGCCACAUAGUAGGCACUCAAUAAACAUUUUUUUAAAUGAAAAACAAGCUAAUACAAACAGCACAGCAAAGAGAAUUGAUGAAAAUUAGAGUCCAGGGGGGAAAAAAUUAUCUUGGCCAGAACGUGUGGCUCUGUUGCCCGGGAACUUUUCUUGGUGAUGUGUGUAGACUUUUGAAAGGGCUAAAAGAUGGUCUCAAAAAGGCUGUUGUAUUUCUUGGCCUUUUCCUAAAGAGGAGCCCCAAUCUCCUUAAAUCUUUUCUGUUAUAUUGGGGAACAAGGAGGAGGGCAACUAGGCAGAUCAUCCCAGUUCCCAGAAACUUUAAGUGCUGUUUCUUUCAUUUAAUUUGAAUCUUUAGGUGCUAAUAAAAGCACUUCUCAGAUUGUCUCCCUGGGGGACAUAUCCACUACUCUGCCUCUGUAUGCCUAAAACAAAAGCAAGUUACACCCCAUAAAAAUCUCCAUCCAGACCUCUAAACUCCUAUAAAAUGCAGUCCACUUUUUACUAUCCUAGAGUCAAUGGGAAACAACAUUUUUAAAAAUAAUCAGUGAAUUCAGUUCACUUUCAGGUUGAUUUUUUUCCAUGUAAAAAUAUACUAACUAAAUGUUAGCUGAAAUCAGUUUUAAUGUAUUUAAGAUAACGUUAGAAGAGAAUAUAUAAAUUUCACUUGAACAAUCUGCUAUUUUUAAAUCCUUUUAAAUAUUUAAUUAAAAAUUACCAAUAAUUGCUAAAUUGAAACUGAUUAGUUCUUUUUAAAAAAUCAGCUGUUUUACUGAAUUCUAAUCCUCUCCACCCCCCAAAAAAAGGCUUAUGUGUGUAUAGUCAGAAGCUGCAAAGGCUGCAAGAAUACAAGAGAGGAGACAACAGGGGUGAGAUACAGAUCUUUUUAGCCCCCAAAUCAGUUUUGCCUUAGUGACCUGGCUAUUUUAGGCUGGGGUUGGGGGAACUAAAUCACAUUGAUUGGUGUUUCAUCUCUCCCUUUUGAAUGAGCCCAGCACUCACAUUAAGGGUUAUUUCUUAUCUAGACUGACAUUCCUAGGUUAGGGAUAAAAAUGGGCAGACUUGAGGUACCAUAACUUUUCAUCUUUCUUUUCUUUGUUUUUGUUAACAUUAAAGAUUACUAUCAAAUAUUGUAUUUAUUUUCAAUUUUUUUUCUACAUUGCUUCUUUGGGACAGAUAAAUCUUUAGUGCAGAGUUACACUUGUGUAAGAG